rnacentral:rRNA from 1 species
AGCGAACGCUGGCGGCAGGCCUAACACAUGCAAGUCGAACGAAGUCUUCGGACUUAGUGGCGGACGGGUGAGUAACACGUGGGAACGUGCCUUUAGGUUCGGAAUAACUCAGGGAAACUUGUGCUAAUACCGAAUGUGCCCUUCGGGGGAAAGAUUUAUCGCCUUUAGAGCGGCCCGCGUCUGAUUAGCUAGUUGGUGAGGUAAAGGCUCACCAAGGCGACGAUCAGUAGCUGGUCUGAGAGGAUGAUCAGCCACAUUGGGACUGAGACACGGCCCAAACUCCUACGGGAGGCAGCAGUGGGGAAUCUUGCGCAAUGGGCGAAAGCCUGACGCAGCCAUGCCGCGUGAAUGAUGAAGGUCUUAGGAUUGUAAAAUUCUUUCACCGGGGACGAUAAUGACGGUACCCGGAGAAGAAGCCCCGGCUAACUUCGUGCCAGCAGCCGCAGUAAGAC